ensembl:lincRNA A530013C23Rik RIKEN cDNA A530013C23 gene
GGCAUUUGACUGUGUGAGUGUGGAGGCCAGCGUUCUGCAAGCCCUGGGCCUGCCUGCCUGCAUCUCCUUCGUGCCUCGUGGAAGGACCCUAGUGAAGCCACUCUGUCCCAGAUGAGGUAAUUUCGUGUGAGGCAUGGUGUUCUGUCCCUUGCACAGGGAGAGAAAUGAGGGUCACAACAGAUGAAGAGGCAAAUGCCCACCUGUGGGGUGUGCGUGACAGAAGCAAACCACGAACUGUGCCGGAUGGACGAUGAAGCCCCGUUCUGUCACAACAUGAGCCCCUGGUCUCAGGAGUUAACCGCCUGCAGUGCUGGGCACGGUGCCUGGCAUGGAGGAGGACAGGAACGGAGGAAGAACAUCCAGGUGGGUGGGAAGGUGUGGACACGGGAAUGUUCAAGGCGUGUUUGGGAAGAGCGAGGAGACCAGCCCGGCUGGUGGGGAGGCUGGAAAGACUGGUUGAGGCCAGGAGGCCCUGACGGGGCCAGAGGAGGGCGGGCCUUAGUUGGGAAGUUCUAUGAAGCCAUUGUGUGCUCUGGAACCCUGGAAAUGGUUCUUGGUUUUGGUUUGAUUUUUCAUAAAUUGUGUAAGAAUUUCCAGUUUGAAGGUUACUAACCUCCCUGCCCCCAGAGGUGGCCCUCAAAGUGACACCCAAGAUGGAUUUCUUUGUAUCUGGUGUGUCUGCCUCACAUUUCCCUGUGAGGUCCACUCACUGGUUGUCUCUCUUUUCUCUGCUGUAUAGUAUUCCACUAAUCCAAUCGACCACAGUGUGCUGACUUACCCUUCUCUAUGUGAAUGUUGUCUCUGGUUUUGAUUCUAGACUGGCACUUCUAGAAUACUCUAGCACACUCCUCUUGGUACUCUCCAGAAGGCUUUUUUGUCUUAGGCUAGUCCAAGGCAGACAGAGUUCAAUGGCGGGGGAUAUGCAUAUUUUAUCUCUGUAGUUUGUCCAUAUUUCCAGGGUGUCGGGACCCCAUCUCUAUCCUUUUAGACACAGUUCACCCUGAGGUCUCCAUCUGCAGCAUUCACACAGGUCAGAGUUGGGGUCAUGACACGUCUUUGAAGUCUCUGCUGUAGCCAUUGGGAGGCCCUGGGUUCUCCUACCCCUAGGUUCUCAUCUUCCUUCAGGAAGCAGGCUAGUGGCUGGGCUUCCCAUCCAGGUAGUCUCCUGCAUGGUAUAGGGUGUUUGGGGUUGGUGCUUGGAUCUGGUGAGAUAGGGUCCUGCAAGAGGCAAGAUCCAGCAAGGAGACGCGGUCUGGUGAAGACCCCCCCAGAGAGGCAGGCUUUGGAUUGAACUCCCAAAAGGGGGUUACAGGCUGAGAAAAGAGAAUGUUCUAAUGCUGAACUCUUGGCAGGCAUCGGCUGUGGGGGGAGCCGGGGACACUCAGCUAUAGUGCUGAGGAAGCCUUGUAUCCCAGGUUAUCAACCUGCCCCAGAAUUCAUGCGCUGUGUGGCUUGGAUGCUCAUGGCUCCCUCUCUGGGCUUGAGCUUCCUCUGUGUGGGAAGCUUAAGGAGGCUGGCUCCCUGUCUGCCGGCUGUCCUGGCCCCUUAGGCCUCCUUGGCCACCCCCUCCAUACCCUCGAGGAAGCUGAGGCUGAGGCACAGGGCCAGGGCUUGCACCUUGACAACACACCCACGCAGGGCACAAAGGCCCAUUGUUUGAGCCCACGUUGGCGGGGAAGCGGGUGGGAAGCAGCCAGCCGCCUUUCACCCAACCCGCUUGUGGUCGGUGGACUGAGGAGCAAUUCACAAAACCCCGCCCCUGCCUGGGCACCUGUCCAGGCCGCCUCCCGGGCAGGCACCCUUGCCAAGCUGAGCCAGCCUCUACCCUGUUCCUGGCCUCAGUUUCCCCCAGCAGGGAGCAGGCUAGGAGAGCAUCGAGGUAGGAGGGUGGAACUUGCUGUUGGCCUGGGGGCUGGAGUCCCAGCACAGACAAGCCACCCACUUGGUUCAGGAGGAGGCUUGAGGACAGGAACUUGGGGCCCAACAAACCUAAUAUGGGGUCCUGCUUGAAUAGUUUGAGAGAGUCUGUUUACUGGUAAGUCUUAGUUUCUCCAACUGUAAAAGGAAUUUAAGAGCUUAUAACCAUUGGGACCCAUGGGACCACAGGGUGGUAGCUAUCCAUUUAUCGAUCCACCCACCCAUCUAUCCAUCCAUCCACCCACCCACUCAUCCAUCCAUCCAUCCACCCACUCAUCUAUCCAUUCAUCCAUCCAUCCAUCCAUCCAUCCAUCCAUCCAUCCAUCCAUCCAUCCACUGUCACAUGUUAGGCAUGGACUCUGCCAGGACAUCUGUAGAACUUCCAAGACCAUAUGCAAAGUGAAACAUGAGGUCCCUAAUCCAGAACCAAGGGUUGCAAGAUGGCAUUUGUAUCAAGCCCAGUUCAGACCCGGCCCUCCAAAAGACUCUGUGCCAUGGCUCCUGAUCUUGCUGUCCGGAGGCUAGCUUAGGAACUAGACACAGAGAUACACUAAUGAACAAAGUCCCUCCAAGGGUGCAGAUCUCUUAGCGGCAGAAGCUGGGGCCUCUGACCUGUCCCUUGAGCCACGGUCCAUUGUGACCCCCAACUGUCUGGCACCCCUGUUCCAAGGGUGGCCCCAGUCAGGUGAACACCAUGCAUCUUUGCAUCUUGUCAGGAGAUGCAUAGGCUGGCUGUGUUUUGGUACUGAGGGGGAAACUGAGGCUCCAGUCCUCUGGAUCAUCAACAGUUGAGUGGCAGUGUCAGGAUUCAAACUCAGGUCAAUUCAUACCAGAGUCCAAGCCUCCUCUGUGUGGGGACAGCCAGAGCCUUAUGCCAGGGCUCUGCUGGGGUUCAAGUUUGGGGAGGGUGUGGGUAUGCUGGUGGCCUGCCAGCUGCCACCUGGGCUUGAUCCUUCCUACGGCCCUGAGUCACAGCUCUGUGUCCUGGGAAGCUGGCUCUGCCCUCGUCAUCCAUGGGAUUUGUGUGGCUUCCUGUUACCAGGUCCACCUCCUCUACAUUUCAGGGUCAUGCAGGACCCUGAGUGGGCUUGUUAGACAGGACCCUGAACCUUUCUACUCUUGUGGCCUUUAGAGACGUCUUUCUGUGUUGUCUCACUUGGGCUGAACCCAUCCUUCUGAGAUAAUCCAGCAGAGAUUAGCUGUCAUCGGGUAAAGUUGGGAGAGUCACUAGGGAGACGCCUCAUGCAUCUGGUGGGACCUGAAUUCUAGAGUGUGGAACUUUUGGCAUCCCAAACCUAGGCUUUAUUGACUUCUUAUUUAUUCUGAAAUGGUCUCAUGUAGCCCAAGCUAGCCUAGAACUCUAUGUAGCAGCCUGACUUUGAAGUCUUCGCUUUUCUACCUCUACCUCAAGAGAGCUCAGAGAUUUUGACCAUGCCUAGCUUCGCAGUCUAUUUUAAAGAGUUCCUGUGAGACAGAGCUACAUAUUCCACAAAUAUCAAUUCCCAGACCCCAGCAGCUGGGAAACCCAGAGCCCCUGCAUGCCCACACCAACACCCAGGGCCUCCUCCUUGUCUGAUUGCCUUG